rnacentral:rRNA from 1 species
AUGCACGCUGGCGGCGUGCCUAAUACAUGCAAGUCGAGCGAACAGACGAGGAGCUUGCUCCUCUGACGUUAGCGGCGGACGGGUGAGUAACACGUGGAUAACCUACCUAUAAGACUGGGAUAACUUCGGGAAACCGGAGCUAAUACCGGAUAAUAUAUUGAACCGCAUGGUUCAAUAGUGAAAGACGGUUUUGCUGUCACUUAUAGAUGGAUCCGCGCCGCAUUAGCUAGUUGGUAAGGUAACGGCUUACCAAGGCGACGAUGCGUAGCCGACCUGAGAGGGUGAUCGGCCACGCUGGAACUGAGACACGGUCCAGACUCCUACGGGAGGCAGCAGUAGGGAAUCUUCCGCAAUGGGCGAAAGCCUGACGGAGCAACGCCGCGUGAGUGAUGAAGGUCUUCGGAUCGUAAAACUCUGUUAUUAGGGAAGAACAAAUGUGUAAGUAACUAUGCACGUCUUGACGGUACCUAAUCAGAAAGCCACGGCUAACUACGUG